UCUUCUCUUCUCCAGGUUCUACAGCAAAGUCUUGGAACCCACUUUUGUAGGACUCUUCCUUGAAGUCAAGGGACAAGUCUAGUUUCUCCUUUGGGUCAAGCCCAGGGACACCAGUUGAAUGCUGCUCCUGAGGAGGUCUGGGUGCUGGGAUGUCAGGGCAUCGCCAGUGUCCUUCUCUGUCCACAGAGGUACCACUUAGAGGAAGGCAGAUUCCCCCAGCGAGGUCACCAGGCAGGGACUCUGUGUCGGAAGCACUUUCAAAGGGGAGAAGUGGGGAGCUGCUUAUCUUCAAUUUUGUCUUCACCUGGCAGGUGUACACCUGGCUCUGGAGUCUGCAAGGGCAAGAAGAAAGGAGUCAGACAAGGCCUCAGGACAUUUGCACUCAUGUUACAUUGCACCAGCCUUUGUCAGAAGGAGGAAGGCUCAGAAACAUCUUAUUAGUUCCCCAUGUGUGCCUAGGAAAAGAGAGGUAAAUAUGAAGAGCUACCUUUUAUUAACACAGAAAACAAGCGAUGAAGCCAAACCCAAACAGUACGGAGAAAAUGUAGCACAUAGUUAAAGCAAUUCUAUUAAAAAAUCAGAAUAGGACAAAUGAGCAUGUGCAGUUUAAGUAAGUAUAAAUAUGUUGUGUGAGUCAUGGUGAAAAGCAUAUCUCUGCCUAAUGUUUGCAGCAGUAAAUAUCAAAUUAAUA